rnacentral:misc_RNA from 1 species
AACGCACAUUGCGCCCUCUGGUGUUCCGGAGGGCAUGCCUGUUCGAGCGUCAUUACAACCCUCAAGCCUAGCUUGGUGUUGGGCCUCCGUCGCAUUGGACGGGCCUGAAAAUCAGUGGCAAUGCCCUUCCAGCUUCAAGCGUAGUAGAUCUAUCUUCGUCUUGGGUAGUUGGAUGGUGCGGUUCGCCAAAACCAAAACCUCUGGUUUUAUCUUCUGGUUGACCUCGGAUCAGGUAGGAAUACUCGCUGAACUUAA